GCGGGUGUGGCGGAAUUGGCAGACGCGCUGGAUUUAGGUUCCAGUGGGGCAACCCGUGGAGGUUCGAAUCCUCUCACCCGCA
rnacentral:tRNA from 1 species